CAGUCGCCACGGUAAUACGGAAGGUCCAGGCGUUAUCCGGAUUUAUUGGGUUUAAAGGGAGUGUAGGCGGUCUGUUAAGCGUGUUGUGAAAUUUAGGUGCUCAACAUUUAACUUGCAGCGCGAACUGGCGGACUUGAGUGCACGCAACGUAUGCGGAAUUCAUGGUGUAGCGGUGAAAUGCUUAGAUAUCAUGACGAACUCCGAUUGCGAAGGCAGCGUACGGGAGUGUUACUGACGCUUAAGCUCGAAGGUGCGGGUAUCGAACAGGAUUAGAUACCCGUGUAGUCCCUGUCUCUUAUAA
rnacentral:rRNA from 1 species